GAAAGAGACGAAGAGAAGUUUGAUUAUUGGAGAGGGGGAACAAACAUGAAAUUCUUAUGGUAGAAUCUCAUACAUUGACGAGCAUACUUCAGUUAGUAUGAAUUGGAUCUUCGAUUGAUUAGUGUCGUUCAUUUUUAUAGUGCAAUUAUUAACUGUGACAAUGGUGCAGUACAAGUUAUCAUACUUCAAUGUAAUGGGUUUGGGUGAGCCAAUAAGAUUCUUGUUAAGCUACGGUGGCGCCGAAUUUGAAGAUAUUCGUAUUGAUCGCGAAGAAUGGUUAAAAUUUAAAUCAGCAACUCCAUUCGGGCAAAUGCCAAUUUUAGAAUUCGACGGUAAAGUUUAUUCUCAAACAUUACCGAUUUGCCAAUAUUUGGCGAAGAAAUAUAAUUUAAAUGGUAAAACGGAUUUGGACGAUUUACAGAUCAAUGCUAUUGCUAAUGCUCUUCACGAUCUCAGAAAACAAGUAGCACUUUUCUAUAGAAGCACUGAUCCCAACGAGAAGGCUAAAAAAAAGGAAGAAGUUUUAACUACAAUUUUACCAUUUUAUUUGAAAAAGUUAGAAGAUCUGGUUCAUAAUAAUGGUGGUUAUUUGCACGGUGGUCAGUUGAGCUAUGCUGAUUUGUUUUUUGUGGCCAUUUCGGAUUCAAUUAACAAUGCUUGUGAGUUAGAUAUUGGCAAGGAUAAUCCUAAUUUGAAGUCUCUCAAGGAGAAGGUACUUGCAAUUCCAAAAAUUAAACAAUGGAUUCAGAAGAGACCUAAAUUGGAUUUUUAAAUAUUCAUAAUCCGAUAUCACUUUUACGCACACAUCUUAUUUUUUCUUUUACGCCUAAAAAUAAGAAAUUAAACAACAUCGUCGUAUGAAGUUUCCUGUUGAACAUGAAAAGUAAAUAAAUAAUUUAUUAUUACUUAA